ACGGCUCUAUGAGAUUGUAAACUGCUUUUGUACGAGGAGUAAACUCACCUACGUGUAGGUGACUGAAAGUAUCGUACGAAUAAGGAUCGGCUAACUCCGUGCCAGCAGCCGCGGUAAUACGGAGGAUUCAAGCGUUAUCCGGAUUUAUUGGGUUUAAAGGGUGCGUAGGCGGUUUGAUAAGUUAGAGGUGAAAUCCCGGGGCUUAACUCCGGAACUGCCUCUAAUACUGUUAGACUAGAGAGUAGUUGCGGUAGGCGGAAUGUAUGGUGUAGCGGUGAAAUGCUUAGAGAUCAUACAGAACACCGAUUGCGAAGGCAGCUUACCAAACUAUAUCUGACGUUGAGGCACGAAAGCGUGGGGAGCAAACAGGAUUAGAUACCCUGGUAGUCCACGCAGUAAACGAUGAUAACUCGUUGUCGGCGAUACACAGUCGGUGACUAAGCGAAAGCGAUAAGUUAUCCACCUGGGGAGUACGUUCGCAAGAAUGAAACUC
rnacentral:rRNA from 1 species